rnacentral:rRNA from 1 species
UACGGGGGGGGGCAAGCGUUGUUCGGAAUUACUGGGCGUAAAGGGCUCGUAGGCGGCCAACUAAGUCAGACGUGAAAUCCCUCAGCUUAACUGGGGAACUGCGUCUGAUACUGGAUGGCUUGAGUUUGGGAGAGGGAUGCGGAAUUCCAGGUGUAGCGGUGAAAUGCGUAGAUAUCUGGAGGAACACCGGUGGCGAAGGCGGCAUCCUGGACCAACACUGACACUGAGGAGCGAAAGCCAGGGGAGCAAACGGG